UGGGGUGGCUGUGUUUUCUGACGCAGGAGUGAACACCAGCACUUUGGAGUGUAGAUCGUCGCCUGUUUCCGCUGCAGAAUAGUUCAUGCCAAUGGGUGCUGCACACACUGUUUGGGAAAUAUUGAAUCUGAAAGGGACCUUACAGGGCAAGGAGAAUGACCUUUUUCAUACAAGGACCUUGGGUCAGGCCAUUGAGAUGACAAUUUUAUCUGCUAAACGGGGAUUUGUAACUUGAAUAUGAUGGCUUCUUUGGAGUGAAUCCCUAAAGGAGCGUUGUGGUGAUAAGGAUCUUUGAAGUUUAUGAAGAAAUGUAACUGAGCUCCAAUUUGUAACUAGACAGAAAACCUACACAAAGCCUGAGUACCAGGUUUUGGUAUACUGGCUGCUGCUGGAUGAGUUGGCGCUGGUUUUGUGCCUGGAGGAGAAUGUGGGCAAGCUUCUCCUGUGUCUGCUGCCAUGUCUGGGCUCUGGUCUUGAUCUCUUGGCUGGAUCACUAAUGUAGCCUUCUCAACAGAGCCUUUGUUUCUAGUCCCAUCUUUUCCUGACCUUCUCUACUUGGCUCCACAGUGGUCUUUCUAAACUAUAAAUCUGGCCAGGCCACUUCCUACUAAAGCCCUGGCUGUUGCCUCCACAGUGUCCACAGUGAUGCUUUCUCAAGCUUCAGUCACUCACACAUUCCUUCACCAAGAUUCCCAUGUCUGCAUACCAUCUGUCCUACUGUUUACUUAAUAGUUGUCUUUAGAAAAUUUUUGUCAGUUAUGUUUUUACUUAGCCUUUUCCUGAGCAGUAAUAUCUGUGAAAUCAGAAGUUUAAUGUGCCAGCUGUAUUUACUACUAGUAUUCUUUAAGUAAAACUGUAGCUAUUAAAAUAUGUUCCUCUGUGUACCAUCUGAAGUCACUGGAGCCACUCCUAAUACACUUUGGAGAACAGUAACCUCAGGGUAAAAUCCAAGCAGUUUAUCUUGUGCUCAGCACUUUCUGUGACCCACCCAGUUACCCAGCCCCUCUGGCUUUUUCAUUCUCCUUUCCGGCCAUUCCAUUGAGCAAAGACUCCCUCUUGCUCUUUCAUUCCACCCCUCAGGAAUUCCUGCUCUGCACCUCCCUGCUCAGAUGGCAAAUGUCUUCUGUCCCUGUGUUGUUGGAACUGUUUGGAUUUUUUGUUUGCUCCUUUAACCUGAGUCCUCUAGGGCAGAGCCUGGGUCUGCUGCAUCUCCAUGGCCCUGUCCUCAUUACAAAAUCCUCAAUUAGAAGUCAUCCGCGACCUGACUACAUUGCCCUUCUUUCUAUUGUGUCCACUGUGCCCUCCUUCUAGCAUCACCCUGCUCUUAAAUGCCAUGUCCUUUUGCACAUGUUCCCUGCAGUAGAAUGCCAUUUCCCCUCCCUCAGCAGUCAGAGUAACCAUGGCCCCUGGCCU